GUCAGAGGAGGGCGUGGACUCUGAGCCUCAGAAGCAGGAGCUGACAGAGAAGAACCAAGUGUGCUGGCGCGUGUGCAGACAGGUUCCUGGAGCAAGAGUGAGGAGAUCAGGGUCCCAUCACUGGGACACUUUAGCUCUUCAUGCAGAUGACGGACCCCAUGGCGUCGGGUGGCUGAGAGGAUGCAGCUUCUCAGGACUCUGCACUGGAUGGCUGAUAGAUGGGAAGCAUUUCGGGUGUAAGGACCUUCCAGCGCUUCGCGGGUGCCACAGAAAGCUGACGCGAUACGGCGACCAUGACGACAUUGUAAUAGAGACAGAGGUGGCCUCGCGAGAAGAGCAGGUCCCGCCUUCAGGUGUUGGGUACUCAGCUGAGAUGGGAGACCCCACGGUGGGGGAUGAACGGCCCUGGGACGUGGAGGAGACAAAGGGACCCAGAUCCAAGGCGGGUCUUUCCCGCUUUGGGACUCAGAGUCCCGGCGGGCUCGUAGGUAAAGGCACUGGGGUCUCGCCGGUCCCAGUGAGUGUGGCGUCCUGCCCCAAGGGUGUCCUACAGAUGCUUUCCUUCUAAAUUCAGGGACGCGGGAGAUGACACAGGGAACGGCUCUCUCUGAGCCCCAGUUGCCCCCUCUGUUAAACGGGAUGAGAAUGCUCAAACCCCAGGAUCGCUGGGAGCGUUCAGUGACAACACGUGAGUAAGCCCAUGGCCCUGUGGUUACUGCGGGACCGUGAGUGUCUGCAUGAAUUCCGGCCACUUGUUAUUGUUUUCAACUUUGUCGUUAGGGGAUAGAGGAGGAAAAGAGAGAAAAAAGACCCUGAUGACAGCCCGUUGUACUUUCUGGGUGUUAUGAUCACUACCCACUUGUAUCAGUGUCAUUGUCACUAUCCCGGUGCCUAGCCUGGUGCGGGGCACACUGUUACUCCAGGAAAGCAGAGUGAUUGCUGGAUCUGUCUCUGCCUGUGCAGCUCUUCAUGCUGCUGGCCGAGCUCCUAUCAGGCGUCUGAAGGAGGCA
rnacentral:lncRNA from 1 species